CGAGAUCAAACCUAGAUCCAAACAAGGACAUAUUUCAAUUAUAGAAAAUGUCCUUAAUUCGAACCUGCCACCUAGCUUGGAAGGCCCAAUGCUCACAUUUAAAUCAUAAAAGUUUAUUAGAGUUAGACGAUGAUCCAAGUUUCAUUAAGGGUAUGUGCCAUAAAUGAGCCCAAUUCGAAACCUUAAACGUGCGUUCAGGAGGAACUUAAUAUCGAGUCCCUACAAACCCCAAUUCAGCUAAUUUCAACAAAAAUUAUAUUUAAUGGAACCAAUAUACAUGUAAACAACCUCUACACUUGUGUUACUUAGCAACAGGAAAUUACAACGGAAAUCUAAUUAUGGACAACAUGUUUAAUCUAAUUUUAAACCUAUAUCACUAUGAGUCUCGCACUUUUGAUUUCAUCUAAUUACAAAAAAUUGCACAUCUAAUAGAGGUCCAAAAAUCAAAUGCAUACAUCCAUUUAUCUGGAGUACCUAUAGACUGAUGCUAGUUAGACAAUUACACAUAACAUCUUGCUUCCAAAAAACCAAACAGUCACACUUUCAAUCGAAUACAUUCUGAUUCUUAAAUAAAAAUAAGCGAUAAGAAAGGGAUCAAAAUAAAGGAGUCUAACCACAUGAUUAACUACAUGCAUAACAAACAGUGAAUGGCUUAAAUAGUAGUCCCUAUACAAAGGAUUUCAGAUGUCCUGAACUACUUACAUGCCAAUCGAGACAUCAGAUCAUACGUUUUUACCACAAAACAAAAUGCAGCAUGAAUUUCUAGGGAAUAACACACUACGGCUAUAUCAAAAUGAACAGUUCAAGCUAAAUAUUAUUACACUACAUCAAUAGCUUAAGAAAUUCUAAGUAAAAAAAGCUAGAAUUGAUUAUUAAAAAAAAUAUUCAUUCAUUUAUGGAAUCUUCAUGUGAUUAUAACUCUCAUACUUGUAUCUCAUCCUCCAUAGGAUCAGGGAAUACCUGGAAGUAAAUGAUAAAGGAAAAAUCAACAUAAUGAUACCAGGGAGUCAGCAGCCGGUUCCAGUAAGGAGAGUAAACCAGCAAAAGGAAUUUAAAACCCAAAAAUGAAGUGUUGCAACUUAGAAAUAAGUUUCAAACACCUAGUUAAACCAACAUACCUCAAAGCCCAGCCUUAAUGACUGAAUCUCAAAUUAUUUCCAAGUCCAACUAAUCAGAGAAUUGGUUCAAGAAGAUGAGAUGAGAAUUUUAGAUUGCAAAACUAAAGCUUAAUGGAACAGUGUUUUACUGCAGGGUGUUGCAGCUAUUUUUGUUGAUUUUUAGGAUGUUUUUG
rnacentral:lncRNA from 1 species